rnacentral:miRNA from 1 species
AGUUCCAGAUGGUUGUUAGCCACUAUGUGAGUGCUGGGGAUCAAACCUGGGUUCUCUGGAAGUGCUCUUAACUGCUGAGC